rnacentral:rRNA from 1 species
CAGCCGCCGCGGUAAGACAGAGGAUGCAAGCGUUAUCCGGAAUGAUUGGGCGUAAAGGGCUCGCAGGCGGUUUCUUAAGUCUGAUGUGAAGGCCCCGGCUCAACCGGGGAGGGUCAUUGGAAACUGGGAAACUUGAGUGCAGAAGAGGAGAGUGGAAUUCCACGUGUAGCGGUGGAAUGCGUAGAGAUGUGGAGGAACACCAGUGGCGAAGGCGACUCUCUGGUCUGUAACUGACGCUGAGGAGCGAAAGCGUGGGGAGCGAACAGGAUUAGAUACCCGCGUAGUCCCUGUCUCUUAUACC